rnacentral:rRNA from 1 species
UGCCAGCCGCCGCGGUAACACGGGGGGCGCAAGCGUUAUUCGGAAUUAUUGGGCGUAAAGCGCGCGUAGGCGGCUAUUUAAGUCAGAUGUGAAAGUCCACGGCUCAACCGUGGAAGUGCAUUUGAAACUGGGAGGCUUGAGUAUUGGAGGGGGUGGUGGAAUUCCCGGUGUAGAGGUGAAAUUCGUAGAUAUCGGGAGGAAUACCGGUGGCGAAGGCGACCACCUGGCCAAAUACUGACGCUGAGGUGCGAAAGCGUGGGGAGCAAACAGGAUUAGAUA